GGAUGUGAGGACAAUCCUGCUGGGACCUAUGCCACUCCAUUGAUUGACAGGUUUAAUUCAGCUGGUGUGGCUGGCUGAGCAAGUGUCCCUUCCUCCCUCACUGCUCUAUGUGUGUCCCUUACGGAGCUGCAUGUUUGCUUGAAGAGGACAAACUUCCUCAAAUAGAGAUGGAACAGUCUCCAGUUAAGGGUGUAUGAGUAGCUGUGCUCCUCUGCUAGAACCUGCAAACAAGCUCUUAAAAACAAACAGACAAACAAACGAACAAACAGUAGUGCCCAGACUGUGCCCACAGAAGCGGAGAAGAUGACUGGGGAGAGAAUGUGCUAUUGGUACAUUUGUACUU
rnacentral:snRNA from 1 species